rnacentral:pre_miRNA from 1 species
GUACUACUCCCUCCAUUCAGAAUUACUUGUUGUUAAAAUGGAUGUAUCUAGACGUAUUUUAGUUCUAGAUACAUCCAUUUCCGAGACAAGUAAUUCCGAACGGAUGGAGUACAUG